GACUAACGCUGGCGGCGUGCCUAACACAUGCAAGUCGAACGAGGUAGCAAUACCUAGUGGCAGACGGGUGAGUAACGCGUAGGUAAUGUGCCCUCCUGCGGGGGAUACCGUUCCGAAAGGGACGUUAAUACCGCAUAACAUGCUCUAGGGGCAUCUUUAGAGCAUCAAACUUCCGGGGUAGGGGGAGCAGCCUGCGUUCUAUCAGCUAGUUGGUGAGGUAACGGCUCACCAAGGCGACGACGGAUAACUGGUCUGAGAGGAUGACCAGUCACACUGGGACUGAGACACGGCCCAGACUCCUACGGGAGGCGGCAGUGGGGAAUAUUGCGCAAUGGGCGAAAGCCUGACGCAGCGACGCCGCGUGGAGGAUGAAGGCCCUCGGGUUGUAAACUCCUGUCAGUGGGGAAGAGAACGGACGGUACCCACUGAGGAAGCUUCGGCUAACUACGUGCCAGCAGCCGCGGUAAUAC
rnacentral:rRNA from 1 species